GUCAAAUCAUCAUGCCCCUUAUGCUUUGGGCUACAAACGUACUACAAUGGCCGGUACAAAGGGAAGCGAAACAAGUGAUGUGGAGCGAAACUCAUAAAGCCGGUCUCAGUUCAGAUUGCAGUCUGCAAUUCGACUGCAUGAAGUUGGAAUCGCUAGUAAUCUCGAAUCAGCAUGUCGAGGUGAAUACGUUCCCGGGUCUU
rnacentral:rRNA from 1 species